GUGCUCGCUUUGGUAGCACAUACACCAAAAUUGGAACAAUACGGAGAAGAUUAGCAUGGCUCCUGCUCAAGGAUGACAUGCAAAUUUGUGAAGUGUUCCAUAUUUUU